rnacentral:rRNA from 1 species
UAGGGAAUCUUCCACAAUGGACGCAAGUCUGAUGGAGCAACGCCGCGUGAGUGAAGAAGGCUUUCGGGUCGUAAAACUCUGUUAUUGAAGAAGAACGUGUGUGACAGUAACUAGUCAUGCAGUGACGGUAUUCAAUCAGAAAGUCACGGCUAACUACGUGCCAGCAGCCGCGGUAAUACGUAGGUGGCAAGCGUUGUCCGGAUUUAUUGGGCGUAAAGCGAGUGCAGGCGGUCUUUUAAGUCUGAUGUGAAAGCCUUCGGCUUAACCGAAGAAGGGCAUCGGAAACUGGGAGACUUGAGUGCAGAAGAGGAGAGUGGAACUCCAUGUGUAGCGGUGAAAUGCGUAGAUAUAUGGAAGAACACCAGUGGCGAAGGCGGCUCUCUGGUCUGUAACUGACGCUGAGGCUCGAAAGCGUGGGUAGCAAACAGGAUUAGAUACCCU